UGCCUACGGGGGGCAGCAGUGGGGAAUAUUGCACAAUGGGGGAAACCCUGAUGCAGCGACGCCGCGUGGAGGAAGAAGGUCUUCGGAUUGUAAACUCCUGUCCUUGGGGACGAUAAUGACGGUACCCAAGGAGGAAGCACUGGCUAACUACGUGCCAGCAGCCGCGGUAAAACGUAGGGUGCAAGCGUUGUCCGGAUUUACUGGGCGUGAAGGGGGCGCAGGCGGCGCGCCAAGCCCGAUGUGAAAGCCCGGGGCUCAACCCCGGGACUGCAUUGGGAACUGGCGGGCUGGAGUGCCGGAGGGGG
rnacentral:rRNA from 1 species